UACGUAGGCAGCGAGCGUUGUUCGGAGUUACUGGGCGUAAAGGGUGUGUAGGCGGUUGUUUAAGUUUGGUGUGAAAUCUCCCGGCUCAACUGGGAGGGUGCGCCGAAUACUGAGCGACUAGAGUGCGGGAGAGGUAAGCGGAAUUCCUGGUGUAGCGGUGAAAUGCGUAGAUAUCAGGAGGAACACCUGUGGUGUAGACAGCUUACUGGACCAUUUCUGACGCUGAGACACGAAAGCGUGGGUAGCAAACAGG
rnacentral:rRNA from 1 species